CUGAACCUGCUCAAGGUGAUGGUAAUGGUUUAUUUAGGCGAGUACGUGUGCAUGUCAGUGGACCCGAAGAUGGGUUGGGUGGUAUUGGACAUGGAAUUACUUUUGCGCCAGUAGAUGCUUAGCCACCAAUACGUAUGUCUUUUCAUGUGUGCCUUUUGGUGUCAGCAACAUAAAUUGCCCACAAACUCUUGCUAAUGACGCUUCAGAAGCCAGAGGUGACCAGGGUGGCGAUUUGUUGGGAGAUGGAGAUGGGUUGACAGCUCUGUUUGGGCUAAGCCAGGGAGGAAGUAAUGCAGCUAAUAACCACAGGGAUCUAACCGCAAGAGGUUAUGAGACAGAUCUCCAGAGUAAAUUGUCUGAAACUUCUGUCGGGGGACCAAGUGGAAAUGCCAUCCCUGUGCAGAUGCUUGAUCAUACCGGUGAUGACGUUGGAAUUCAAUGGGAUAGUACUAGUGGUUCCUCCCUCUCUUUGGAUAUGAAGACCCCUCUUGGUUAUUUUCCUCCUUUCUGUUUUGGUUCAUCUGGGGCAAGCUCAGGAUAUGAUAUGUAGAGGACUAUUGCUUGGUGUUAUCCACUGGUCGAAUUUGUGGAUGUUCACAGGCUCAGUGAUGGCUAAGUCAAGCACUCGGCAGAAUUAUCUUAUGCAGUUUCAUUAUGAAAGGUGAGUGUCCAAGCUUUUAAUGAUGAGACCCUCAAGGGUGCAGAACACUCGGAUUCAUUGAGGAAGGCUGAAUGCCCUGAUUCCUUGGAAAGGUUGGUGUUUUUAUUGCUUAGUUUGAGCAUGAGAGUAUUUACUUGUGUUUCGAUGUGGAUGGAUGAUUCUUUAUAUUAGCUUGAUGUGGGUUUCAUAUGCAUGUUACUCUCUAAAGUUCAUUUGAAAUGAAGGGAAAUUAAUGGGAAGUCACGACUGACUGUUAUAUUUAAUUCUCAAUUCAAACUCAUUUUGCCUUUACAACUUCUCUCUGGCAAGUUCAUGUGUAUGUAGACACUCAUGAAAAGGUCACUGAUCAGUAUCAGGUAGAGUUCUAAUUCAAAAAUAGCUAUUUAAAAGGUCAAAUAUCAUUUGAAUAUAUUACGCGGUCACUGUAUAGCUUGUUAACUUCUGUGUCACUAUGUCCUUGUCAUUCAGCUAAUCUGUCCAUUGAAAAGAUA